UAAAAAAACAAACCCUGGUUUCCGUGCCCAACGUUUGACCGUCCGUCUUAUUUGAAAAAAAUAUUAAAAAAAUUAAAAAGAUAAGUCACACAUAAAGUAUUAAUCAUGUUUUAUCAUCUAACAACAAUGAAAAUAUUAAUUAUAAAAAAAUUCAUAUAAUACGGACAGUUAAACGUUGACACGGAAACCCAUGAAUUGUCUUUUU
rnacentral:pre_miRNA from 1 species